AGUUUUUUCAGCUGCUUGGAAGUAGGGGAGCCAUUUUCUACACACUGAUCUCCAUCCAGCCUGAAGGAGAGUCUUUAAUACUUUCUGUGACAGAUCGAGGCGUGUGGAGGCAAGAGUUGUGGAUUCAGUACCUCAUCAGCACUGGAUGUGAGUUCAAGCUACAAACAAACGCAGGCUUCGUGUAAAGCAAAAUCAGGCCAAUGCACACCGCUGUCAUGACUCCUAUGACAGCAGGGAGAGGAGUGUCUGGGCUUCCCUGCUGAUGCUGCUGUCCCCACGACCUUGACCCGGAUAUGCGGAAGAAGAUGGAUGGAUGUCUGUAGUGCUUAAGAUUGAUUUGAGUAUGGAGAUGGUGCAGAGCUGCAUGAGACCAGGACUGAGCCUGAAAACUUCUUCACCUGGGACACCUGGGAAGAUGACAGACUAUACCAACUCCAAAGACCAGGCUGAGGCACAGCAAACACAGAGGCUGCGAGCGAGACAAGAGCCGUGGCUGAAUGUCCAGUGGGAAGAGGAUCCAACUCUACAACAUCUGGACAGUGGAGAGAAGGAGAGAGGUCCCAAGACAUCUGAUGUUCCACUACAAAGAGCCCUGAGGGAAAAGAGGAGACACGGAGGGACUAGAGGGUCAAAUACAUGGAAGGCGGUGAGGCAGGCAUGCAGAUGUGCUUGUGGCACAUCAAACAAACAGAGAGGGCAAGAGAUGCACAAAGUGACACAAAGGUGAAAAUUUUACUCAUUAGAAAAAACUUUUUUUCUUAAUAGACUUAAGCCUCAACUUGGUCAGACUGUCUAAAAUCAGAGAAAUGAUCAGGAUCUGUUUUGCUCAUAAAAUAGAGAAAGUAUUGUUACCCAAUAACAAUUUUUAACAUAUAGGCUACACUAAACUGCUAGUUUACGUAUUUCUUGCUCACUGUCUGUCUUGUUAGCUUUCUAGCUUAACAGUUAGCUCCGUCUUGUUUACCUAGCUAGCUUAUAUUUUGUUCACAUGAAUUAUCUUGGACAAAGUAUUGUGUCUGUGCCCCUUAGAGAACACAGUCAUCUCUUUAUCUCCAGAAACUCUCUCUAGUAUUGAGCUCUGUGUCUCUUCAGGAAACACUUGAGAGGGUUCAGCUAUUACUUUUAAAUUGACAAUGAUGUGUCGAUGCUCUGCACCGUGGGGUGUCUUUGAGGAUCCCGAGCUUCCCAGAUUAUGUCAGACUGUCUUUGUGAACAUCUGCCAUCGACUUGUAUUAUUAACAAACCGAGUUUAAAGCUUUUCUGCAUGCUAAGAAAGGAAUGGUAGAGACAGUUAACAAAGUCAAAGACAGCAAUGAAACCAAAGCGAUGAGACCAGUGUCAAAAACAGAGGGGGGCAGGAUGUUGCUGCACUUUAUCGUCGGCUGUUGAAGAAUUACUACAGUAGCUUCAAAGACCUUCUCCCAGUGUGAACAGGAUACAGCAGAGGAUGACAUCUUCCAGUUCUUUCUGAUGUUUUUUUUUUUUCUUGUCUCAUGUGCAUCAAAUGAAAGUUGCAUUCAUCUUCAUCAAAUAGACUCACCACACCUGCCACUCAAACUUCAUGAUAGACUCGGAGGGAAAUGUCAGCUCUGGGAAUUUUGUGUCUUAAAUGGCUCAAUAAAGCACCUCAGUACCCCAGUCUGUUCUUUUACGACGUGUUUUAUGUGUGAAAAUAAAGCCCACUGUAUUUUA